CGCUGAAACAAAAAAUUAACAAUGAAAGAUAAUAUUAUUCGAUAUGUAUGUGAUUUUAUAACUUUCAAUAGGUAUUCUUUAUUAUUCUUUAUAGAGUCUAAUACGAAUCUGCAAACCGUUUUUCAGAAUCCAUAUUUUUUAAAAAAAUUUUUUUAAAAAAUUGAAAUUCUUUUUAAUUUUAGAAAUAUUUAUUUUUACAAUAAUAGUUGUUCAGUUCGAUUCAUGAUACGAAAUGAUUCUAUAAAUUUUCACAAACAAAACAAUAAAUAGUUAUUAAAUUAUAAACAUCUAAAUAUAUAAUAUUUAAAUAAUAAUCUAAGUUAAAAGGACUAAAAAUGCAUUCGCUUUUUCUGAUAUUUUUCAAUUUAUUUUAAAAACUAAGAAUCUAGGAGAAAAUUUAAAAACUACAAAAUCAUUUUUAUUUUCAAUGUAGAAGCUAAAUAGUUUGACAAAAUAUGCGGUAACGACAAUGUUACUCAAUGAGCGAUUGUUUUUUCUGCCAUACAGCAUAUCGGAAUCGCGGCAAAGCAGUUUUUUGUUAAAAGCAAUUAUUAUUCUAAAAAUAUAUAAUAAUUAAAAAUUUUUAAAAUUACAAUUUUUUCUAAAUUAAUUUUUAUAAGUUCUAGCGAAAAUCGUUUGCAGAUUCGUAUUCAGUAUAUUAAUUUCUAUAAGAAAUACAUAUUGAUUAUGAAAUUGAAAAAAAAAAAUUAAAAUUUGUCAAAAUAAAAUCAAUAUAAUUUAUAUAUAUUUUUAAGCAUCAUGAAUAUUUUUAUUGUAUAAAUAUCUUUUUAAAUAAUUAAUCGAUAAAUUAGUUGUACUAAGAAUAAUCAAUCUUUCGUUGAUAUUCUAAUGUUAUUAUUACGAAGGUAUAUAUAUAUAUAGUAAUCUAAUCUUCAAGAGAAUAAAAUGCCAUAAUACAAUUAGUAAUUCGACAUUUUAUUAAUUUCAAGGAACAAAGGAAACUGUAGGUAUAUUACAAUAUUAGGCAAAUUAUGAAAAACUAUUGAUCAAAAUGUAUCUUCUUCCGUAUUAAUUUUAAUGUAUUGUGGCAAGCAGAUAUUUUGUCUUGUAGCACAGGUAUUCGGUGAUUAUAAAGCAAUACGCGCAGCAAAAUACCAAGAAAUAGAUUAGUUACUAAUACAUAUAGAUAUGGGAUUUAUUAAAUAUCAAUCAAUACGUUGAUAUUAUAUGGUAUCACCAUAUCAUAUAAGUAGGUACAAUGUGGUUGUGCAUUGCAGUUUCAUAGAAAAUAUGCUGUUAGCUUAAAUAACUAUACGCAUGGUACGCCAUUACUCUAUACCACGUCAGUCCAGUAGCGAUAUCGUUUGUGUACUGACUUAUUAUUGAAUCAGCUCGAUUAGAGCAAAGUUUAAAGAAUCAGUCACUGCCAGCUCUAUUUUUUCGGCAUUUUCCUAA